GAUGAACGCUAGCGGCAGGCCUAACACAUGCAAGUCGAGGGGUAACAUAGAAAAGCUUGCUUUUCUGAUGACGACCGGCGCACGGGUGCGUAACGCGUAUACAACCUACCUUUUAGCGGGGAAUAGCCCAGGGAAACUUGGAUUAAUGCCCCAUAGUAUAUAGACUUCUCCUGAAGUUUAUAUUAAACAUUUAUGGCUAUUAGAUGGGUAUGCGUCCUAUUAGUUAGUUGGUAAGGUAACGGCUUACCAAGGCAGCGAUAGGUAGGGGUCCUGAGAGGGAGAUCCCCACACUGGUACUGAGACACGGACCAGACUCCUACGGGAGGCAGCAGUGAGGAAUAUUGGACAAUGGGCGAGAGCCUGAUCCAGCCAUGCCGCGUGCAGGAAGACUGCCCUAUGGGCUGUAAACUGCUUUUACAGAGGAAGAACCACCCCCACGUGUGGGGGUUUGACGGUACUCUGCGAAUAAGGAUCGGCUAACUCCGUG
rnacentral:rRNA from 1 species